UUGUGCCAUUCCAGGCCGCUCUCCUCGUUGCAUCUCUCUUUUAGAACGGGACAAUUACAAAUGUCUAUUGUUUUUAAUUUGGUGAGGCAUUUCAUAGCUUCAGCUGUAGGAAAAUAAUUCAGAUUCAUGCAUCUGUCUAUACAUAGGGACUGAAGAGAUGCAAAGUUCCCCAAAGUUCCCCAACCACUCGGGAGAUAAGAAAAGGUUUAGCUUCUAUCUGAUUUCAAUUAUACAAUUGACCGCUGUGGUUGAAUAUAAUCAUAUUAUCAUUAAAUCCCAAUAAAAACAAUAACUCUGAGAACUAAAGUUUUGAAGAAAAGGGGUUGUAUCACUGUUCAUCAAGUUUACAAAUCCAGGAGAUAAACAAUUUACAAUUUAACACAAUGGGUUUUAUUUAUUGCUGAUUAAUAGAACUCUACCAAAUUCAAUAACACAAUAAUCAAAAUUCAGUUCCAAAAAUAACAAUAGUUUAGAGAAUUGAAGAAUUGAAGAAAAGGUGUUGUACUUGU
rnacentral:lncRNA from 1 species